GGUGGCUUGUGGUUAAAAUAGCUUGGCUGCUAACCAAGAUGUUGGUGGUUCAAACCCCCCAGCCGCUC
rnacentral:tRNA from 1 species